rnacentral:tRNA from 2 species
GGUGGUUAUAGCUCAGUUGGUUAGAGCGUCGGUUUGUGGCACCGAAGGUCGUGGGUUCGAGCCCCAUUCUCCACCC